rnacentral:rRNA from 1 species
UUGUGACUGAGUGGCGGACGGGAGAGUAACGCGUGGGUAACCUGCCUCGUACCGGGGGAUAACACUUAUAAAUGACUGCUAAUACCGCAUAAGCGCACAGUGCUGCAUGGCACAGUGUGACAAACUCCGGUGGUAUGACAUGGGCCCGCGUCUGAUUAGCUGGCUGGUGGGGCAAUGGCCUACCAAGGCGACGAUCAGUACCCGGCCUGAAAGGGUGAACGGCCACAUUGGGACUGAGACACGGCCCAAACUCCUGCGGUAGGCAACAGUGGGCAAUAUUGCGCACUGGGGGAAACCCUGAUGCCCCGACGCCGCGGGAGCCAACAAUGAUUCCGGCAUGUAAAGCUCUAUCAACACGGAAGAAAAUGACUGUACCUGACUAAUAAGCACCGGCUAAGUACCUGCCACCCGCCGCGGUAAUACGAAUGGAGCAAGCGUUAUCCGGAUUUACUGGGUGCAAAGGGAGCGUACACGGUUGUAUAAGUCUGAUGUGAUACCCCGGGGCUCAGCCCCGGGACUGCAUUGUACACUAUGUAACUCGAGUGUCGGACAGGUAAGCGGAAUUCCUAGUGUAGCGCAUGAAUGCGUAGAUAUUAGGAGGAUCACCAGUGCAGAAGGCGGGUUACUGGACGAUCACUGACGUUGAGACUCGAAAGAGUGGGGAGCAAACAUGAUUAGAUACCCUGGUAGUUCAUGCAGUAAAGGAUGACUAUUAGGUGUCGGGGAGCAAAGAUCUUCGGUGGCGCAGCAACCGCAAUAAGUAGUCCACAUGGGGAGUACGUUAGCAAGAAUGAAAAUCAAUGGAAUUGUCGGGGAGCCUCUCAAGCGGUGGAGCAUGUGGUAUAAUUCGAAGCAACGCGAAGAACCUUUUUUGGUCUUGACAUCCAUAUGAUCUAUCUUUAAUAGGAGUUUUCCUUUGGGACAGAGGAGUCAGGUGUUGCAUGGUUGUGGUCAGCUAGAUGUAGUGAGAUGUCGGGUUAAGUGUCGCAGAGAGCGCAACCCCUAUUUUCAGUAGCCAGCAUUUAAGGUGGGCUCUUUGGAGAGACUAACAGGGAUACCUGGAGGAAGGUGGGGAUGUCGUCAAAUCAUCAUGCCCAUUAUGUCCAGGAGUACACACGUGAUACAAUGGGGUAAUCAAAGGGAAGCGAACCUGUGAGGGG